UUUUCUAGAAAGAAACUUUUUUACACUUUCUUUUCAGAUCUAACCUUCCCAUAAGUUUUCGUUCAGUUCAUCAAUCUAGAGCAAACCCUAAAUACCAAAAUCCUUAAACCUCCUAUUCUCUCUUGCCUCCCAAUGCUCCCAUGGUUCUUGCCUCGCCGAGACCCUGCCACUGCUUGCCUUCACUCUCUCCCUUGUUCAUGGUCGUUGGGCUGGCGUGCUCGCCGCCACUUUCCUCUCGCAUCGCUCUGCUACUUCACUACUGAACAACACGACGGAAAUUCGGCGAAAACUCGUGGUUGUUAUCCCAGGCUUUUCUCUCUCUUUUGACUUGAAUUCAUCAGAUAUGGUGGUAAGUAAGAUGCUCUAAUAAAAAAGAGCAUUUAGAGGGGACUACUAAAAAGCUUAAAACUUUAUAAAGUUAGGCAGUGUUUGAAGAUGAUGGCGAUCUCGGGUGAGGAGUCUAUCAUGAACGAAAAUGCAUGUUUCUUAAAAGAAAAUUGUAUAGUUAAUAAAUUGGCUGUUCCAAUUUCUUUUAGAAUGUAUGUAUAGUUAAUUAUUGGGAUCACUUAAGAUUUGGGACUAUGUACUGAUAAUACAUUUCAUUAAACUCUAU